rnacentral:rRNA from 1 species
AGAGUUUGAUCCUGGCUCAGGAUGAACGCUAGCUACAGGCUUAACACAUGCAAGUCGAGGGGCAGCAUAGAGUUUUAGCAAUAAAAUUCGGAUGGCGACCGGCGCACGGGUGAGUAACACGUAUCCAACCUGCCUGUUAUUCAGGGAUAGCCUUGCGAAAGUAAGAUUAACACCUGAUGGUAUUGUUUCCCCGCAUGGGGUUACAAUUAAAAGCAAUGAUAACAGAUGGGGAUGCGUUCCAUUAGAUAGUAGGCGGGGUAACGGCCCACCUAGUCUUCGAUGGAUAGGGGUUCUGAGAGGAAGGUCCCCCACAUUGGAACUGAGACACGGUCCAAACUCCUACGGGAGGCAGCAGUGAGGAAUAUUGGUCAAUGGGCGCGAGCCUGAACCAGCCAAGUAGCGUGAAGGAUGACUGCCCUAUGGGUUGUAAACCUCUUUCGCUAGGGAAGAAGCCUUUUAGGUGACGGUACCUGGAUAAGAAGCACCGGCUAACUACGUGCCAGCAGCCGCGGUAAUACGUAGGGUGCGAGCGUUGUCCGAAAUUACUGGGCGUAAAGAGCUCGUAGGUGGUUUGUCGCGUCGUCUGUGAAAUUCCGGGGCUUAACUCCGGGCGUGCAGGCGAUACGGGCAAACUGGAGUGCUGUAGGGGAGACUGGAAUUCCUGGUGUAGCGGUGGAAUGCGCAGAUAUCAGGAGGAACACCGAUGGCGAAGGCAGGUCUCUGGGCAGUUACUGACACUGAGGAGCGAAAGCAUGGGUAGCGAACAGGAUUAGAUACCCUGGUAGUCCAUGCCGUAAACGGUGGGCGCUAGGUGUGGGGAUUUUUCACGAUUUCCGUGCCGUAGCUAACGCAUUAAGCGCCCCGCCUGGGGAGUACGGCCGCAAGGCUAAAACUCAAAGGAAUUGACGGGGGCCCGCACAAGCGGCGGAGCAUGUGGAUUAAUUCGAUGCAACGCGAAGAACCUUACCUGGGCUUGACAUACACCGGAUCGCUGCAGAGAUGUAGUUUCCCUUCGGGGCUGGUGUACAGGUGGUGCAUGGUUGUCGUCAGCUCGUGUCGUGAGAUGUUGGGUUAAGUCCCGUAACGAGCGCAACCCCUAUCGUUAGUUGCUAGCAGGUAAAGCUGAGAACUCUAGCGAGACUGCCGGUGAUAAAUCGGAGGAAGGUGGGGAUGACGUCAAAUCAUCAUGCCCUUUAUGUCCUGGGCUACACACGUACUACAAUGGCCGCAACAGAGGGAAGCAAUAUAGUAAUAUGGAGCGAAACCCUAAAAACGGUCUCAGUUCGGAUUGAAGGCUGAAAUUCGCCUUCAUGAAGCUGGAAUUGCUAGUAAUGGCAGGUCAGCAUACUGCCGUGAAUACGUUCCCGGGCCUUGCACACACCGCCCGUCA